AUCUUUCUAGUAUAAAAAGUAUAGUUGACUUCCAAUCAACAGGUCUGAAAGCUCAGGAAAGAUA
rnacentral:tRNA from 1 species